UACAAGCUUGGCUCUGACUUAUAAAUAUAAUAAUAGCGAAGGAACAACACAUGGUUUUUAUAGAAAGUGGUGAGAUUAAAAGUAUAAAUAAUCUGAGAUGGAAAAUCAAAUACUAUUUAUCUUUUAGAGUAUUAUAAUGUAAAUGAUCCUAAGAUCGUACCACUAUACACCAGUGUUUAAUAUUAAUUAAAGAAGUGAAAACUUGCCUUAGAUUAGCUAGCAGAUUUGGUUAAUUUGGUGCCAGCAUCCGCGGUUAGACCAAAGAAUCAAGUUAUAUAAUAUAGGUAAAAAGAUAGUUAAGCAAAAUCGAUAUUAGUUAUAAGAUUUUUUAUUUAAAGGUAAAAUUUGAAUAUAAAAAAAUAUUUUAAUCAAAACUUUUAUGCUGAAGCUAUGAAAAUUUAGGGAUAAACUAGGAUUAGAUGCCCUAUUAUUCUAAAUUAUAAAUUGAUGUAAAUAUUUACCAGAGUAUUACGAGUUAAAAACUUAAAACUCAAAGGGCUUGGCGGUACUUCAUACCCUUUAGGGGAACCUGUCUCAUAAUCGAUAAUCCACGUUACACCUUACCUUUUUUAGUAAUCAGUUUGUAUACCGUCGUCGUUCAGGCAACUUCUAAAAAUAUAAAAGUUGACAAGAAAGAAUGAUAAUCUUAGACGUCAGAUCAAGGUGCAGCCAAUAUAAAGGAGAGGAUGGGUUACAAUUAAAAAUUAUAACUACGGAGUAGAAAAUUAAAUAUCUCUAUUUGAAGGAGGACUUAAAAGUAAAAUUAUAUAUAUAAAUUUUUUGAAUACGGCUCUGAAGUGUGCACACAUCGCCCGUCGCUCUCGUUGAAAAAUGAGAUAAGUCGUAACAUAGUAGGGGUAAUGGAAAUUGUUCCUGGAUGAAA
rnacentral:ncRNA from 1 species